UACGGGGGGAGCAAGCGUUGUUCGGAUUUACUGGGCGUAAAGGGCGCGUAGGCGGUCAGCACAAGUCAGUUGUGAAAUCUCCGGGCUUAACUCGGAAAGGUCAACUGAUACUGUGCGACUAGAGUGCAGAAGGGGCAACUGGAAUUCUCGGUGUAGCGGUGAAAUGCGUAGAUAUCGAGAGGAACACCUGUGGCGAAAGCGGCUCACUGGACCAUAACUGACGCUGAUGCACGAAAGCUAGGGGAGCAAACAGG
rnacentral:rRNA from 1 species